rnacentral:rRNA from 1 species
AUGGGCCACGAGGGCACCAAGUACGGCGAGGACGGCCGCCCCACCUGCGACUGCCUCCUCUUCGACCUUGAUGACACGCUCUACCCGGUGGCCUCCGGCAUCGGCCUGGACGUCAUGAAGAACAUCCAAGAAUACAUGGUCGAGAAGCUCGGCAUCGACAAGAGCGUCAGCCACGAGCUCUGCAUCCUGCUGUACAAGCAGUACGGAACCACCAUGGCCGGUCUGCGGGCUGUUGGGUACCAAUUUGACUACGAUGAUUUCCACGGCUUUGUUCAUGGCAGGCUGGCCUACGAGAAGCUCAAGCCUGACCCAGUACUCAGGAACAUCCUCCUGAGCUUACCAAUCCGCAAACUCGUGUUCACGAAUGGUGACAGGCUGCAUGCUUCGAGGGCCAUGAAGAGGCUUGGGAUCGAGGACUGCUUUGAGGGGGUUCUGUGCUUUGAGACAUUGAACCCGCCAUCGCCCACUCCUGUGCCAUCCAACAAAGUCGAGAUCUUCGAUAUAGUGAAGCACCUGGCUCAUCCAGAGCCUGGGGUUGAGCUGCCAAGGUCACCAAUCCUGUGCAAACCAAACAUAGAUGCAAUGCUGCAUGCCCUCAAGCUUGCCGACAUCAAUCCUCAGACUACUAUAUUUUUCGAUGACAGCGUCAGGAACAUCCAAGCUGGGAAGCAGAUCGGAAUGCACACUGUCCUGGUUGGAACUUCUGAAAGGAUUAAAGGCGCUGACCAUGCCUUGGAGAGCCUUCACAACAUGAAGGAAGCGUUUCCAGAACUGUGGGUGGAGGCUGUGAAGGAUGAGGACGUCAGGAACUCGAGCAAAGUCGGAAUCGAGACAUCAGUGAUCGCGUAA